AUACAAUGAUGUGGACACCUUCUCAGCAAUUCUUUAUAUCUCUCUCAUGCUUCAUACAAUGACUCUCCUUCCUGCUGCACAAAGGAUGUAAUUUCUCUUCUUAACUU